GUAACACCCAAUUAUUGCCCGGUCUAGUAAACGCCAAAAACAGAUAAAAAUAAUAAUAAAUAAUAAUAAAUAAAGGUCCAAAUGUCCAUUACAUUGGCCCAGUUUGAAGACCCAAGUUACAGUGGGCCUAUAUGGUCCAAACCCAGAAUACAAGGCCCAAGAAAUGAGCAGAGGCCCGAAGCAAUGGCCCAACACAAAAUCAGAAACCUUAGGGUUUCUGGGAUGAGUCUCGCGCCGCAGCCACCUAGCCAAGCUCCGAAUCUCCGUGGAUCUUCACCUGUGCAUCAAGGAAAACAAAAAUGGAAAGUAAAUCAAAAGAUUUGUAAAUCAAAUAAAGAAGCAGAUUUGUUUCUUCUUUAGAUUUAUUUCAUA
rnacentral:lncRNA from 1 species